CUGCUGCCUUCCGUAGGAGUUUGGGCCGUGUCUCAGUCCCAAUGUGGCCGUCCACCCUCUCAGGCCGGCUACCGAUCGCUGCCUUGGUGGGCCGUUACCCCGCCAACUAGCUAAUCAGACGCGGAUCCAUCGUAUACCACCGGAGUUUUUCACACUGCCCCAUGCGGAGCCGUGCGCUUAUGCGGUAUUAGCACCUAUUUCUAAGUGUUAUCCCCCGGUAUACGGCAGGUUAUCCACGCGUUACUCACCCGUCCGCCACUAACU
rnacentral:rRNA from 1 species